rnacentral:miRNA from 14 species
CAGGUGUAGGUAGAGAGCACAUU